rnacentral:rRNA from 1 species
GACGAACGCUGGCGGCGGGCUUAACACAUGCAAGUCGAACGAAAAGGCCCUGCUUUGUGGCGGUGCUGGAGUGGCGAAAGGGUAAGUAACACGUGGGUACCCUGUAAUUCACGGUGGGAUAACUUCAUGAAACAGGGGCUAAUAGGGGGAAGGAGUUACUGCUGCAUGGUGGGCGUUGGAUUGUUUAGUCGGUUGGGGAUGGACUCGCGGCUGAACAGCUUGUUGGUGGGGUAGUGGCUUACCAAGGCUUUGACGGGUAGCGGGUCUGACAGGGGGACCGGCCACAUUGGGAUUGGGAUGCGGCACAGCCCACAAUGGGACGCAACGGUGCGGAGUGUUGUCUUAUGCGCUGAGGCCUGGUGUAGCAACGCCGCGUGCGGGAUGUCAGCCUGCGGGUGGUAAACCGCUUUUGCCUGUGCCGAAGCGUGAGUGACGGUACCGGGUAAAGAAGCACCGGCUAACUACGUG